CAUUAGUUGGCCAGUCUCUCAGGAAACGGAGCACCACGUCUACAUCCCAGAGAUGUAAAUAUUUGGGCCCUGGGGGGCAUUGUAGUUAGAUGCCUCUCAGAAGUCGACACACUAGAAGGUCUUUACCCACCGGGAUCCCUAGUAUAGGGACGUGGGCCGCUGAAAUCGUGGAGAGGACUACAUUAACCCCUUAAGGACACAUGACAUGUAUGACAUGUCAUGGUUCCCUUUUAUUCCAGAAGUUUGGUCCUUAAGGGGUUAAGCGAUCGGUAUUAUCGACCUGUCGAGAACAGAUGAGACAGAAAGUUCAGAAUGGCUGGGAUAGAGGCUG